rnacentral:rRNA from 1 species
UACGAAGGGGGCUAGCGUUGCUCGGAAUCACUGGGCAUAAAGGGUGCGUAGGCGGGUCUUUAAGUCAGGGGUGAAAUCCUGGAGCUCAACUCCAGAACUGCCUUUGAUACUGAAGAUCUUGAGUUCGGGAGAGGUGAGUGGAACUGCGAGUGUAGAGGUGAAAUUCGUAGAUAUUCGCAAGAACACCAGUGGCGAAGGCGGCAUCCUGGACCGGCAUUGACGCUGAGGCGCGAAAGCUAGGGUAGCAAACGGG